GACAGAGGUGCCGAGCGUUAGGCGGAAUCACUGGGCUUAAAGCGUGUGUAGGCGGGUCGUUAAGUACCUUGUGAAAUCCCCCCGGCUCAACCGGGGAACGGCUGGGUAUACUGGCGAUCUUGAGCCACCUAGGGGCAGUCGGAACAAGUGGUGGAGCGGUGAAAUGCGUAGAUAUCACUUGGAACGCCAAUGGUGAAAACAGACUGCUGGGGGUGUGCUGACGCUGAGACACGAAAGCCAGGGGAGCAAACGGGG
rnacentral:rRNA from 1 species